rnacentral:rRNA from 1 species
AACGAACGCUGGCGGCAGGCCUAAGACAUGCAAGUCAAGGGGUCCAGCAAUGGACACCGGCGCACGGGUGCGUAACGCGUGGGAAUGUACCUCUAGGUGCGGAACAACACAGGGAAACUUGUGCUAAUACCGCAUAAUAUCUUCGGAUCAAAGAUUUAUCGCCUAGGGAUCAGCCCGCGUAAGAUUAGGUAGUUGGUAGAGUAAUGGCCUACCAAGCCUACGAUCUUUAGCUGGUCUGAGAGGAUGAUCAGCCACACUGGGACUGAGACACGGCCCAGACUCCUACGGGAGGCAGCAGUUAGGAAUAUUGGACAAUGGAGGAAACUCUGAUCCAGCCAUGCCGCGUGAGUGAAGAAGGGCCCUUCGGGGUUUGGUUAAAAAACUACCUUUUUAAGUUCGUGGUACGAUGAUGACGGUAGCGACAGAAAAAGACUACCGGCUAAACUUCGUGCCAGCAG